rnacentral:rRNA from 1 species
CCUACGGGUGGCUGCAGUGGGGAAUUUUGGACAAUGGGGGAAACCCUGAUCCAGCCAUGCCGCGUGCGGGAAGAAGGCCUUCGGGUUGUAAACCGCUUUCGGACGGAAAGAAAUCGCACGGACUAAUACUCUGUGUGGAUGACGGUACCGUAAGAAGAAGCACCGGCUAACUACGUGCCAGCAGCCGCGGUAAUACGUAGGGUGCGAGCGUGCGUAGGGAUUACUGGGCGGAAUGCGUAAGCAGGCGGUGAAAUCCCCGGGCUUAACCGGGGAACUGCGUUUGGAACUGGGAGACUAGAGUGUGUCAGAGGGAGGUGGAAUUCCGCGUGUAGCAGUGAAAUGCGUAGAUAUGCGGAGGAACACCGAUGGCGAAGGCAGCCUCCUGGGAUAACACUGACGCUCAUGCACGAAAGCGUGGGGAGCAAACAGGAUUAGAUACCCCGGUAGUC